AGGACAUCUCCGCCGGCGGUGGCAGGAUGACGGUGGUCCACAGGAUCGGUGGCUCGCUGGUUCGGAGUUGAGCAAUAUUUAUAAACUGGCCGAAAAAAAGGAGCGGGAGGUGCCGGAGAGGAGCAGGAGAAGCAGGAGGAGGCUGAUGCGGGGGUCAUGGUGCAUGAUGCAUGCCCAAUGGCUUUAUUUCCGGGUGACCGUGUAAAACGUGCUCGUGGUUUGCAGCUUAUUAAAUGAGCUAUUUGAUUAACAUUGUUCGGCGGGGCUCGUUGUUACGCUAAUGAAAGGACAAAAGCGAAUAUUUGGACUGCGAGGCACAAAGGACACAGGCCCGAAGCCAUUUUACAGGACAAUUCAGAAAAACAUUUAUAAUGCAGAGCAUGUUUUAUAUACCAUGCAUGCAAGGAAGCUAUGCAUUUAUAUUUGAAAUACGUAAAGUGAAAGCAAGGCACAAAGUCACAGGAAGACUUAGUAUUGAUUUCCAUAUUAUCUUAAUCUAAUUUAACAGAUUACUCAACUUAUAUAAUCUGUUAAGAAUAAUCUUAUCCUCGAGAUUGACUUCAACGUGGCCCUAGCCUUUUGUAAUAUGCAAUUAACUUCCCACAAACAACAAUGUUCAUAAACAUCGGGCAAUUCAAACAUUUCUACAUUAAUCGAAAUUGUACAAUUUACUCUGCCACUCAAUUACUUUGUUUUUCUUUGGCAGCUUAUUAAAUGCCACAUUCUGCAUGCCCAGGAGCGAGGACUCAGCAUCUGUUGAUGUUUGCACGGGCGAAACACCUUGGAGUCCUGGGGAAAACCGCACGAGCCCGACCAGAUGAUGAUCUAAUUGAAUGACAAUAUUAUGCCAGGCCUAAUUCAAUUUGCAUUCCUUGGGAAGAGGAGCAGGUGGAGGAGCUGGGCUGAGGGACACGGGCUGAAUCUUAAACAAACACGGCAAUUACUGCCGACGGAUGCACUUGUCUGGCCAAAUGACUUGGUCCUGUAAUUAGCCCGGGGAUGAAAGGAUGCGGGCUGGGUUCCCGUUUUUCGGCCCUUGGCCCUUUGUCGGCCUCCUCGGGGGUCCGCCUAAUUAUCACAUUUUUACUCAUUAAAUUCACAUUUGCCUGUUUUUUUUCGUUGCUUUUCCCCUUUUUUGGCAGGUCCUGCGCGGAUCCUGCUGUCUAAUUACAGGCUUUGAGCCGCCCUGGCCACCGAAUGAUGAUUGAUUGAGGGAGUAGUAGUAGUAGUAGCCUCGUAAAAUCAUACCACAUAACUUCCCCGCUUAACUCAUUUCCAUUCCAGGUGACAUCUGCCCAAGCGCGUGCCAUGCCAAGGUGCUUCGAGGAAAGUGCAAACAGCAGAUGUAAUGGAUAUGGAAAAGCAAAUCGAAAACUGAUUUGGAGCGGAAGUUCGUUUGCACCUUUCUGCAGUUUCCUGCCAGAACAAUAAACAUCCACAAUCCGCAGCUACAGCCACUUCCAUUCCAUACCCACAAUCGCAAUCAGAAUCGCCGAGUGUUCCAUAUAGUGCCACGACUUGUCUUGGCCUUUGACGCCGUCUUUUGUACUCAGUGAGUUGAGUUCAGAUGGCAUGGAGAUGGAGAUGGAAGAUGGAGCUGGAGGUGAAGUCACCGCCCGUUGGCUUUUGAAUGAGCUGCAAAUCAAAAGCUAUACGCGAUUUCACACACAGUACGGAUUAAGGAUAUGCGUGUGCACGCAGAAAAAUAUUUGAUGGGUUAUGAGUGUAAAAAUAAUGUAACUGGCAGGAUUGAUAUAUGACCAAGUUCCUCCUGGUCAUAUUAUACCCAAAAUCUUGAAAAACUGAACGACUUUUGCUCAUGCUAACUGCAAGGAAGGACCAAGGAUCCCCGGCAGCUGCUCCUUCGGAACGCUGUAUUUGAUUUGCGAUUCGAGGCUGGCGGAAAUGGAAUGGCACGCGAGGCACUCGUACUUUGUUUGACGAUUGGCAAAAAUGCUGCCUCCAUUGCCCGACAAAAAACAGAAGGAACAGAGGGACCAAGGACCCGCCAGCCGUAAGAGACUUCCACUUGAGCCGCACGCAUUGUUUGCCCUGCGAACCGAAGGGGCGUGCUUGGAAAUCGGAUAUAGGAUCGCUCGUUCGGGACAAUCAAAUAGCGCAGCGGAGUUUUCCAACCCACUGAGCAGCCGCAAUCGGCGGCGAAUCAGCUGCCUAUGGCCUGCCUCCAAGAAGAG
rnacentral:sRNA from 13 species